rnacentral:lncRNA from 1 species
GAAUUCUCUAUACAAGACAGAUGCUAUAAAGGCACCCACACCUAGACAUCAUGGCAGAUUGUUAACGUUUGAUCCAAAGGAAAAUGUGAUGAUGCAACCAAAGGAAGCAAUGUCACAACCAAGAUUUGCAAGCAAACUUUAUUCUUCACCAACAAAACAAGUCUCUCUAAGUGUAGCUAAGACAUUCUCAGAAAAGAAGGAAGUCUCUUCAAAGAAGAUUGAAAAUAAAGUCUCUUUAAAAAAUACUGAAAAGAGAGUAUCUUCAAAGAGUAUCAAAAAGAAAGAUAUCUUAAAUCUACAAUCUGACCUACGGUCAUCUUACUUCUUGAAAGAAAGUACAGGUGAAGGGGGCAAAGAUGCAGUCAUUGCAAAGCAGGAGAAAAUUGAUGACUAUUGCCUUCAGGAUACUGAUAAACUGUCAAAAUCAAUGGAUGAUGAUGGUGAAGAUGAUACCAAUGAUGAAGACAGUAACCCUAAAAAGGAUAUUCCUGCCCCAUUAGAGUUAAUGGCAGAAUUCCUCAGAGCUGAAAUGGGCCGAGACUACCACCUGGCAAAAAAAUUAUGUCAGAUGAUCCUCAUCUAUGAACCAGAAAAUCCUGAGGCCAAGGAGUUUUCCUUACUUAUUGAAGAAAUGUUGCUGAAGGAGGAAGCUCAGAAUCUUGAGGAAGACGAGGAAGAAAGUGAAGAGGACAGCAGCACUGAGAGUGAAGAAGAAACCAGUGAGAACGUGAGCAACGAGAGCACUGACGAAUGCGAAGAUGGAUCAUGACAGUCGCUGCAGUUUAAACAUCAUGUAUUUUCAUUAAUGUAUACCACAGAAAUAUAAAGAAGACUGCCAUAUCUCACUCUAGUUGUUCUUUCUUUGGUACAGUUCUUUUAAGUUUUCCAUAUUCUUUGUUUGAGCUCCUUCCUAAUAUUUAGAUUUAGCUCAAUGUGAAUUAUUUGGAGGAAAAUAAAGAAAAAAUAGUGUGCGCCAAGUGUUGGUCAAACUGCUCUACACACAUUAACUUAUUUCAUCCAACAGCCACAUGAAGAAAGUACCACUAUGAACCUUGUUCCACAGAACACUGAGGCACAGAGAGGGUAAUAGUUUGCCCAGCCUCAUAUACCUAUUAACUUGUACAUCCUGGAUUUGUACAUGGACAUUUGGGCUCUGGAACCCAUACUUACAGUCCAACAUAAGUGAUCACCAUAUUAGACACUUUUAUAUCAUUUGUACUAUAUUCUUCAUAGCAUGCAUCCAUGUCUGGAAUGCUGCUUUAAUUACUUGUUCUUUUCCACCUCUGCUAUCAGCAGAGAAUAUCACCUCCUUGAGGCAGAAUUUAUCUUUUUCACUAUUGUAUCCCUCCCAAUGGGAGGAUAUAUUUUAUAUCCCAAAUGAAUAAAUGGAGUGAAAGGUAAAUAAAAU